rnacentral:siRNA from 1 species
UCAGGUACUACAAGAUUAACGAAU